UCUCUGGUAGCUCAGAUGGUAAAGCAUCUGCCUACAAUGCAGGAGACCCAGGUUCAAUCUCUGGGUCGGGAA
rnacentral:tRNA from 1 species